rnacentral:rRNA from 1 species
GACGAACGCUGGCGGCGUGCUUAACACAUGCAAGUCGAACGGAAAGGCCCUGCUUUUGUGGGGUGCUCGAGUGGCGAACGGGUGAGUAACACGUGAGUAACCUGCCCUUGACUUUGGGAUAACUUCAGGAAACUGGGGCUAAUACCGGAUAGGAGCUCCUGCUGCAUGGUGGGGGUUGGAAAGUUUCGGCGGUUGGGGAUGGACUCGCGGCUUAUCAGCUUGUUGGUGGGGUAGUGGCUUACCAAGGCUUUGACGGGUAGCCGGCCUGAGAGGGUGACCGGCCACAUGGGGACUGAGAUCCGGCCCAGCCUCCUGCGGGGGGCAGAGGGGGGGAAUAUGGACAAAGGGGCGGAGGCCUGAUGCAGCACCGCCGGGGGGGGGAGGGCGCCCUUGGGUUUGAACCCCGCUCCCGCCUGUGACGAAGGGGGAGGGAGGGUAAGGGGUAAAGAAGCACCGCCAAACUAGGUG